UAUCCUUUAACUUUACUUUCCGCUAUAUAGAUGAUGUUCUCUAACUAAAUAUUCCAAAAUUUGGUGACUAUGUUUAACGCAUCUAUCCCAUCGAACUAGUGACAAAGGAUACUACAGAUACAGUUAACAUUGGCUAAGUUGGCCUCAUAUCUUGACAUACAUCUCGAAAUUGACAGUGAGGGUCGGUCGAAAACAAAACUUUACGACAAAAGAGAUGAUUUCCCAUUGACUGUGAAUUUUCCAUUUCAAAGUAGCACCAUUCCAGCAGCACCUACAUACGGGGUGUUCAUCACCCAAUUGAUACGAUAUUUCCGUUAUUGUAUUACUAUCAUGAUUUGCUUGAUAGAGGGUUGUUGCAUUUUGCUCACAAGGAAGCUAUUUAACAUAGAGUUCCAAAGGGUGAAGUUAAAAUCAUCCCUUCAUAAAUGUUACGGACGCCAUCACGAUUUGGUUGACUGUUAUGGAAUGACCGUUUCACAGAUAAUAUCGGAUAUGUUCCUUACGCCGUAACUACAAUCCCC
rnacentral:lncRNA from 1 species